AAUAGAGGAUGCCAGUUAAAUUUGAAUUUCAGAUAAACAGUAAAUACUUCUUAAAGGGUAAGUAUAUUCCCUGCACAAUUUGGGACGUACUUAUGAUAAAAGAUCAUUUGUUGUUUAUCUGAGAUUCAGAUUUAACUGGAAGCCCUGUAACUU
rnacentral:miRNA from 1 species